rnacentral:lncRNA from 1 species
AAACAACACCUUACAUUAUUCCAAAGGCAGUCACUUUCAGGUUGCCAACAACUCAAAUUAUUUAUAGGAGACUGAUUUAUACACUUAACCCAAUGGGAGAGGAAAUACUUCUAAUUAUAUCCAAACAUCUUUAAUAUGAGGGGAAUUAUACUUGGAGACGUUCAUUGCCAAAAACAAGUUUGGCCAAAUAUGAUUUAAGAAAGAGGAGGCGGCGACAUGUUUUCCAUAUUUGACCCUAUAAAAGUACCCUUGGAAUGAGUGUGACUUGUCUUUCCUCAUAAAGCUUCAAGUUCUGCCCCACUUCAAGGUUGCAUCUCAAAGGGUCUUUGACUGGGCUGCCAUCAAUAACCCGCAGCCAUGAGUUCCGACCAGGAAAUGGC